rnacentral:rRNA from 1 species
AUUGAACGCUGGCGGCAUGCUUUACACAUGCAAGUCGAACGGCAGCGCGGGCUUCGGCCUGGCGGCGAGUGGCGAACGGGUGAGUAAUGCAUCGGAACGUGCCCAGUAGUGGGGGAUAGCCCGGCGAAAGCCGGAUUAAUACCGCAUACGACCUGAGGGUGAAAGCGGGGGACCGAAAGGCCUCGCGCUAUUGGAGCGGCCGAUGUCGGAUUAGCUAGUUGGUGGGGUAAAGGCUUACCAAGGCGACGAUCCGUAGCUGGUCUGAGAGGACGACCAGCCACACUGGGACUGAAACACGGCCCAGACUCCUACGGGAGGCAGCAGUGGGGAAUUUUGGACAAUGGGGGCAACCCUGAUCCAGCCAUGCCGCGUGCGGGAAGAAGGCCUUCGGGUUGUAAACCGCUUUUGUUCGGGAAGAAAUCCUCUGGGCUAAUACCCCGGGGGGAUGACGGUACCGGAAGAAUAAGCACCGGCUAACUACGUG